UUUGAGGAUUUGAUCCUGGUCCAGGAUGAACGCUGGCGGCGUGCCUUAGGCAUGCAAGUGGGGCGAGUAGUUGAGUGUUGUGAGUUGCGCGAGCCGCGAACGGCUGAGUAUAUGGUAAGAAUCUACCUCUUGGUAAAGAAUACCUCACCGAAAGGUGAGCUAAUACUAUAUAAGAUCGUAAGAUGAAAGGACGUAACUGUCCGCCGAGAAAUGAGCUUACUUCCCAUCAGCUUGUUGGUAGGGUAAUGGCCUACCAAGGCUACGACGGGUAGGGGACGUGAGAGCGUGACCCCCCAGAACGGGACUGAGACACGGCCCGUCGUGAGGGAUGAAGGCCUUCGGGUUGUAAACCUCUUUUGCCAAGCAGUAAAUAGCUUGGAGAAUAAGCACCUGCUAACUCUGUGCCAGCAGCAGCGGUAAGACAGAGGGUGCAAGCGUUAUCCGGAUUUAUUGGGCGUAAAGCGUUUCGUAGGCGAUUUGGUAAGUUACACUUUAAAUACCAGAGCUUAACUUUGGAAAGGGGUGCAAUACUGCCAGAAUAGAAAUAUCUCGGGGUUUACCGGAACUCACGGUGUAGGAGUGAAAUCCGUUGAUAUCGUGAGGAACACCAAGGGCGAAGGCGGGUAACUAGGGAUUUUUUGACGCUGAUGAACGAAAGCUAGGGGAGCGAAAGGGAUUAGAGACCCCUGUAGUCCUAGCUGUAAACUUUGCUCGCUAGGGAUGCGCAAUUUAUUGUGCGUUCCGCAAGCUAACGCGUUAAGCGAGCCGCCUGGGGAGUACGAGCGCAAGCUUAAAACUCAAAGGAAUUGACGGGGAGGCGCACAACCAGUGGAGCAUGUGGUUUAAUUCGAGAGUAACCGAAGAACCUUACCCGGGUUUGACAUGCUACCGUUUUAGUCCACCAGAAAUGGAGGAUGAUUCGUAAGAAAGGUAGCACAGGUGUUGCAUGGCCGUCGUCAGCUCGUGCCGUGGGGUGUUCCCUUCAGUGGGGUAACGAGCGCAACCCCUGCCGUAUGUUGAAUAUUCAUACGGGA
rnacentral:rRNA from 1 species